CAGAGUAGGUCGUUUUGCGUUCAGUGCCCUGAGAACGGGGAGUUGUCUCGGGGACGAAACAGGCUUUGCCUUGCGGUAAAGCGACCGCAUCCCGCUGU
rnacentral:ncRNA from 1 species